rnacentral:rRNA from 1 species
AUUGAACGCUGGCGGCAGGUCUAACACAUGCAAGUCGAGCGGAUGAAGGGAGCUUGCUCCUGGAUUCAGCGGCGGACGGGUGAGUAAUGCCUAGGAAUCUGCCUGGUAGUGGGGGAUAACGUCCGGAAACGGGCGCUAAUACCGCAUACGUCCUGAGGGAGAAAGUGGGGGAUCUUCGGACCUCACGCUAUCAGAUGAGCCUAGGUCGGAUUAGCUAGUUGGUGGGGUAAAGGCCUACCAAGGCGACGAUCCGUAACUGGUCUGAGAGGAUGAUCAGUCACAGUGGAACUGAGACACGGUCAGACUCCUACGGGAGGCAGCAGUGGGGAAUAUUGGACAAUGGGCGAAAGCCUGAUCCAGCCAUGCCGCGUGUGUGAAGAAGGUCUUCGGAUUGUAAAGCACUUUAAGUUGGGAGGAAGGGCAGUAAGUUAAUACCUUGCUGUUUUGACGUUACCAACAGAAUAAGCACCGGCUAACUUCGUG